rnacentral:lncRNA from 1 species
CCAAUUUUACCAUUAAUUAUCGCUUGAUUUUGAUCACACCCCUUCAAAUAAUAAUGCAUAGAUAGUCAAACAUCUUAUAAUGCGGCUCCUUAUCGCCCACAUCUCGGAUAUCUGAUGUUAUGUUAUCUUCUUCGUUAUACAGUCUCUCCCUCUCCGCUCUCUGUUUCACUGCCCUCCUCCGUCUCUCUGUUUCUCUCUAAGAAAAACCCUAAACGUUUCCAUCUGACAACCAUUUACCACUAUAACCGGACAUUUACCGCCACCAAAUCAUCACCAUUAAGCAACCAUGAUCGUCGAAUGGUAUACAAUAUCAUACUCUUGGCCUUGGAACAGUUGAAAGCGUCAAGUUUGAAAGAAUUCUCACACCCUCGACAACGUAAGUAUUAAAUUAUAUCGUUUCAUCGUUUUAAUUUUGAGGCUUUUUUUCCCGAAUGGCAGGUUUUUUAAUCGGGUAGAGAUAAACAGAAAUAUGAGUGAAGGGAGGCGCAUGAACAAAAAUCAAAGAUAUUAAGAUGAGCAUAACCAAGAACAAAAAUUCCGGUGAUUUAUUUUUUCCGAUUUCAGUUUUAUCCCAUUUUAAUCAAAACCUCUCCCUCUCACCAUCAAUCUAUUCUUUAUAGUUGUGUUUCUAUUUCUGUUUUGGAAUUUGUUUGUUUGAAAGAUUUGUGUUUUUUUAGGGUUUUAACUAACCAUUAGGAUCUGGUUGCAGAGAAUGAGUUCAUUUUUUUGGUUGUUCUAAAUUUAUAUAAUUUCUUUCUUUUACUUAAUCUUUAUAAAAAAAGUAUUGGUUUAACGGUAUGAGUUGUUGUUGCUCCUUAUGAUAGCGUUCCUUGCCUAUCUGGGAUGAUUUUGCCUCUUCUCUCUUUUCCCUCUUCAUCAGAAAUAGUGGUACAACAUUCAACCUCCCACCUCAAUCGUUUUUUCUUUGAUUUCCCGUUUGCCAACUAAGAUCUGUAUUUUUUUAGUUACUAAUCGUUUGUUUUUGGGGAAGGUGAACUGAAUGGAGGUGCAAGACUAGAAAUCUAAAGGAUGAAGGUGAACAAGACGUUUAACGAAGAUCUGAUACUUCAUUUUUCUUCGAUCUUUUACCCUCUUUUUUAUGAUCUGUAAAUGGAACCAUGAAAGGAAAGAUUUGUGUGCUUUGAUUCCAUUUGCAGGUAUAGUUUUAUUUCAAAAUUUUGGUUCAUGAUGUUUCAAAUGAUGUUUGGAACACAUGAAUUUGAUUUCCAUGUAUAAGCUUUAUUUAAUCUAUGUGUAUAUAUGAUCUGUUUAAUGUGUAUUUUUCAUUGUGUGUUUGUCUAACAGUUAAAUUUUAAAUAAAGGGAACUGAAAGCUUAAUUUAUGCCUUGGCUUUGGAGGGAAACAAAGUUUCACCAACAAACUUUAAUAAAUCCUUAUUUGCUUGCAUCCUUGUUCUAUAAAGGUUCCAUAAUUACAUCAGUUUUGGUUUUACAUGUUAUUAUAAAAGAUUAAUUCUCUCUAUAUAUUUCAUGUAACCAUUUUUGUUGCUUUGUGGAUUUCUAGGAAAAUUUGAGGUGCAUUCAAAAUUUGAAAUCAAGGUUCGCUUAUAUCCCUUUUUAGCUUAUAUAAGAAUCUUUGGCAUGCAUUAUAUGCUUAAUUAGAAUCUUUUUUCAUGCGCUUAUUCUUUGAUGCAUGAUUCUUGACCGAAUCUUUUAUGAAAUGAAGUUUCUAGGAUUAUGAAACUCAUCAGGUGUUGGUUCUAUAGUAGUAUGGGUUUUCAUGUGGUGGUGAGUCUGUCUACCCUACCAUUUUCAUGCUUACAAAGGUCAUUAUAAACAUAUUAAGGUAGGUUGAAUUGAUAUGUGCAAAAGUGAGAUGAUUUGAUAAUUGAUACUAAUGUUAUUAUUAUUAAUAUAUUUGGAAUGUUUUGAUACUAUUUAUCUGUAAAGGUACCUUUAUAUAUAUGAAAUACAUUUUAGAAAGAUAUCAUUUUGUCUACGUGUUGGUACAUUUGAUUAUAUCAUUAAUUUUUUAAUAAAAUAUUUUGUCUAUGGCUUAUAUGAGUAGAAUGUAUGCUGAUGAGAAGAAUAAAAGGUGAAAUUAUAUGAAAAAGUCAAUUAUAAUUCAUCUGUCCAAAUUUUUUGAUUCCAAAGUUCUCUUUUUGUACUCUUAAAUGUUUUUUCAUUCGAUAUAAAUAAUUAUUUUUUUGCACUACUAGAAAAAAGGCCUUUUACGACGCGCAAAAUACGACGCUCAUUGAUCUAUGUUACGCAAAGGAGAGUGACAUUAGAAAAAUGUCAUCUCUUCAAAAAAUUUAAGGAUAGAAGACACGCAUUAUUGCGCGCCCUUAAAUUAGUGUCUAAAAAAAAACACGGAGGGCACCUAUAAUAAAAUUCGCGUCGUCUAAGGAUGUCGCUUUAUAAUUUUUAAUGGAACGCGCGUUCCAUCCUUUAACAGUAGGGGGAAAUGAAAUUCUGAAAAAAAUUAAAAAUCCCGCCUUCCUUUUUUUUUCUCCUUUCCCUCUUGCCCUGGACGCUCCUUCCUUCCCCCUCCCGACAUUGACUGCUGCUUACUUCUUCCCUCACUUCUACCUACUGGAACCACCAUAUCUCCCACUCGAUGUUGAAAUUGUUAGAAAAAGCCCUAAUUAUACUCUCAAGUCUAAAUACAGAAAAAAUAGAAGAUGGUGAAGAAGUAGCAGUAGAGGAAGUGGAGGAUGAACAGUCGAAAAUGGAAGGAAUGGCAUCAAUAGCGUUGUUACUAGAUGGGUCAAUCUCGGGUCAUUUUGUUCAGCUUCCCGAGUCCGUUUAUUACCAGAUGGGUCAAUCUCGUCUUUUUGUCUCGACUUCAUAUCUCUCUGUAAAGCAAGCGACGACUUCAUAUCAAAAGUGGAGGUGGCAGCCUAAAGACUGUAAUUUGCCAAAGUAAGCAUACCUGAAACGUGAAAUUGGCAAAUUGGAUUGCACAGAAACGCGAUUGGGAUCGGGAAUUUUGGUUUUGGAACGCCGAUUUGUGAAAUUGGGAUCAGCACAUCCUUUUGAAUCGGUUUGUCUUCCUUUACCUCUGUACUCUCACUCACUCUCUCUCUCUCUCUCUCUCUCUCUCUCUAAGCCCUAAGCUGCCACCAUCAAUAAUAAAAUAGUUCGAUCAAGUUUAGUUCAAUUCCUGAUCAUCGAUUUGAAAUUCUAUUUCUGAUAUGACCUUUUGUGCAAUUCUUUGACCUUUUAAUCUUAGGGUUUAUCUUCAUGAAAUCUAAUCUCUGUGAACGAACUAAUACACUUUAGGAUUAGGGUUUAGUAAUGGGAUUCCUUCGUUUUUGUUAGGGCGAUGUGAGUAAUGAACCAAGGAGAAACACACAACAAUGUAAUCAAGAAGAAGAUGUUCCAGUCUUGGUUGAUGCAAUACACC